rnacentral:rRNA from 2 species
GAGUUUNNNNCCUGGCUCAGGACGAACGCUGGCGGCGUGCCUAAUACAUGCAAGUCGAGCGANNNNUUAGNAGCUUGCUCCUAAAGGUUAGCGGCGGACGGGUGAGUAACACGUGGGCAACCUGCCUGUAAGACUGGGAUAACUUCGGGAAACCGGAGCUAAUACCGGAUAAUCCUUUCCCUCUCAUGAGGGAAAGUUGAAAGUCGGUUUAAGCUGUCACUUACAGAUGGGCCCGCGGCGCAUUAGCUAGUUGGUGAGGUAACGGCUCACCAAGGCGACGAUGCGUAGCCGACCUGAGAGGGUGAUCGGCCACACUGGGACUGAGACACGGCCCAGACUCCUACGGGAGGCAGCAGUAGGGAAUCUUCCGCAAUGGACGAAAGUCUGACGGAGCAACGCCGCGUGAGCGAUGAAGGCCUUCGGGUCGUAAAGCUCUGUUGUUAGGGAAGAACAAGUACCGGAGUAACUGCCGGUACCUUGACGGUACCUAACCAGAAAGCCACGGCUAACUACGUGCCAGCAGCCGCGGUAAUACGUAGGUGGCAAGCGUUGUCCGGAAUUAUUGGGCGUAAAGCGCGCGCAGGCGGUCCUUUAAGUCUGAUGUGAAAGCCCACGGCUCAACCGUGGAGGGUCAUUGGAAACUGGGGGACUUGAGUGCAGAAGAGGAAAGCGGAAUUCCACGUGUAGCGGUGAAAUGCGUAGAGAUGUGGAGGAACACCAGUGGCGAAGGCGGCUUUC